AAUGAACGCUGGCGGCAGGCCUAAUACAUGCAAGUUGAGCGCCCCGCAAGGGGAGCAGCGCACGGGUGCGUAACGCGUGGGAACAUACCCUUAGGUGCGGAACAACGUAUGGAAACGUACGCUAAUACCGCAUAAUAUCUCCGGAUCAAAGAUUUAUCGCCUAAGGAUUGGCCCGCGUUAGAUUAGCUAGUUGGUGAGGUAAUGGCUCACCAAGGCUACGAUCUAUAGCUGGUCUGAGAGGAUGAUCAGCCACACUGGGACUGAGACACGGCCCAGACUCCUACGGGAGGCAGCAGUAAGGAAUAUUGGACAAUGGAGGAAACUCUGAUCCAGCCAUGCCGCGUGAGUGAUGAAGGCCUUCGGGUUGUAAAGCUCUUUUAGAUGUGAAAAUAAUGAUGGUAGCAUCAGAAAAAGCUCCGGCUAACUUCGUGCCAGCAGCCGCAGUAA
rnacentral:rRNA from 1 species